rnacentral:lncRNA from 10 species
CUGCGGCCACCCUUGCUUUCUGCCACUCAGCCCUUGCAGGGGCUUCACACCCCAAGAGGGGCAGUCUGGGCUGGGGCUCCUGGACUCCCUAAGGCAUUAUCCCAUCCCCGCAAGUUGCCCGGCCGGGCCCUGAAGGAAAGGGGCCCCGGACCCAGACCCGAAGGCUGCUCACCAGAGGCUCUGCCCAGGGACUCUCACCUCUCCAGCCACUCCAACUCCCCUCCGGCUUUCCUGUCAUUUCCUGAUGCCACAAAUCUUCUGACAUCCUCCCUCUUCCCCAGUGAAUUUCUUCCCCAGGCCCUUCCCUUCCUCAACCUGCUUCAUACUGGACAUUCCCAGCUGGUAGGAUCUGCCUGUGGCUCUGCACAGGAGGCUGGGCAAGGGUGGAGAAGACUGGGGGAGCUGUCUCCCAUGACCCCAGCAGAGGCGAGAGACAGAAGCUGCAUCUGGGACCUGUCGGCUGCAGUUUUGGGCAUUCAUACCCACCUAAGCAUUCUGGAACAGCCCUGAACCUGGGCAUCAAACUCCCCAGGCUUGAGAAUGGUGAACACUACUAUUAGGCGCCCCUUCCUCCAGGCCUAUGCCGACUCCCCUGUGCCCAUGGAAGCUGUGUAGUCCAUGCUGGCUCUGGCUCAUGUGGGUGUCCGGACAGUGAGGCCGAGGCGGCAAGGGCCCUUUACUCUGUGCACUCCCAGCUCCCCAUCCCAGCCAGGGCAGCCUUGACCCUCCUGCCCCCUUGCUGUGCCAUGUGUCAGUUGGCUGGGAUCAUGCUCUUCCCCCGUCUCCAUCAAGAGGAUCCAACAGCAUCUUGCAGCUAACACUGGGGCAUGGGAGUGAGGGAAACAAACAUGGUACCCACUCUUCUGUCCUAAUGUUUAGAAUCAUGGGGCAGAAAAGCA